GGGAUUCAUGUUUGUCGAGCUACAGGGCAGGAGCUGAUGGAUACAUCUUCAAGAAUUUCUAAAAUCAGGAGCCACAAACGUGAGAGACUCCGUGGCCCCCCUUGGCUGAAGGUUCUGAAGGUGCUUUCGGCCUCUUCUGAAGCAGAUUAUGCUAAUCUAAACUCAAAGCUGUCAAGUCCUCCAUCUCUUUGUAGAUCUGAUAUUUGAUUAAUUUCAGUUCUACAGGCAUAUUCUGGAGGCUUGAGUGUGUCCUUGACAGGGUCAGAUGGCAGAGUCUUGGGUGGCAGAGUUGCAGGAAUGCUUAUGGCUGCUACACCUGCACAGGUACUGUUUUAUUCUUCUUUCUGUUAGUGGUACGUGUGCGUAGUUCUGGCUAUACUAUCUGUUUGUCUCUUGCAUGUGGUUGUUGGUAGCUUCGUUGCAAAUGGGAAAAAGCCAAAAGGAUCAACUGCUGCAGCAACCCCAAGCUUGUUGAGUUUUGGUAAUCCAGUUAUAGGAGGCAGUCCUCCCUCCCAGGGUGCAUCCAGUGAUUCAUCAGAUGACAAUUGGUAGUCCACUUAAUCGUAGCUCAGGGCCUUACAAUAAUGCCCAAACAAUCCAGAACAUUCCAAUGUACACGAACAUGUGCUGGCCAAACUCCACUCUCAAGAUGCAUCCAAAUUGACAUCAUAUUUCUUGGUUCUUGACUUGUAUAGUUGAUGCACCAAGGUUAGGGGUUGACUAAAAUGCUAAUAGGCAGAUUAUAGGGCUUUUUGUUUUCCUUUACGAGCGCAAUCAUA